rnacentral:rRNA from 1 species
GGGUCAGUAGGUUGGUCGUGCCACCGGUACGUACUGGUCUCACUGAUUCCUCCUUCCUGAAGAACCGUAAUGCCAUUAAUUUGGUGUUGCGGGGAAACAGGACUGUUACUUUGAAAAAAUUAGAGUGUUUAAAGCAAGCUAACGCUUGAAUACAUUAGCAUGGAGUAAUGAAAUAGGACGAUCGAUCAUAUUUUGUUGGUUUCUAGGAUUGACGUA